UACAGAGGUCCCAAGCGUUGUUCGGAUUCACUGGGCGUAAAGGGUGCGUAGGCGGUCGGGUAAGUCUGAUGUGAAAUCUCCGAGCCUAACUCGGAAACUGCAUUGGAUACUAUUCGGCUUGAGAGUUGGAGGGGGGACUGGAAUUCUCGGUGUAGCAGUGAAAUGCGUAGAUAUCAGGAGGAACACCGAUGGCGAAGGCAGGUCUCUGGGCCACUACUGACGCUGAGAAGCGAAAGCAUGGGGAGCGAACAGG
rnacentral:rRNA from 1 species